UGCUCCUGUGGCAAACGAGAAGCUGACAAACCCAUCGCGAGGGUUGACUGAUGACAACCUGGUGGCUUUUCUGUGGAAAAGGAGCUUAACGAGUUGUCCUCCUAGUCAACAGUGGAUUUUUCCACUGCUGUCACCUGAAGCUCCUCCAAUUAGCCGACACCCUGAGAGGAAAGAUGCCAGCGCACGUGCUUUUCCUGCAGGAGUGAGAGCAGGAGUUUGCAGAUUCUCGUUUAUUCUUGUUUUUAUUUGCUAUGAUUGUCGAUCUAUUGGGGGGGGGGGUGUAACUGAGUUAAUCAAGAAGUUAACCAACAACAAAGUUGGAUAAACUUUGUCGUAUAGCUCCCCUCUGGAUCUAAUUAGCCAUUUUGCAACUCCAGGCUUAUUUUUAUGACUAUACCUUUCUCUACUGCCUGUUGUGCAGCGCCCCACCCUUCCUGGCAGAACCCGGCACACCCCCCCCCCCCCCACUCCCCCCACCCCACCCCUUGCUUUCUGUGGUGGAGCACUGAGCCACAGUCGCAGCAGCGUCAGUGCCCCUGCCCACAGGCAGAGCUCGGCACUAUUUUUGGAAGAAAAAUGUUUCCAUGAUCUUUGAGGGAGUGGAAGCAUUUAGCAGCUCUUUUGGGCCCGUUUUGCACGGCUGGGUGGAUAAAGUACCCUGUGUGUGCAUUGUUGGUCUCACUUAGCUGGUGCCAUUUUGGAUUCCGCAAACAUUGAUGAAAUCCUUUUUUUUUUUUAAAAAUAGCUGUAUCCCUGUAAAGCCGUUUGAAGGUAAUAACAUUUAACUGUUCCUGAAAUAUGAUUAAACCCUGUUUGCAGUUUGGUUGGGCGCUGUUUGCCGUCAUGUUUGCAUUAAAGCUGUUUGCAGUUCACACUGUUGGCGUCCGAGUCUGUAAAUAUAGUGCUUUGUAAAAGUUUUCUUGACUCUUGGACUUUCUCUAAUUUUGUGACAUUACAACCGCAAACCUGACCAAGACUUUAUGGGCUGACAGAGUAGAGUAUGGUUGUGGAUAGGUUGUCACAGUACUAAGAUUUCAAACUCUAUAUCGAUACCCAGGAAAAUAUUCAAUACUUGA